UAGCCUAGGGAUAUCAUUCUCGAGCACAUACCCUAUUUUCUCACAAUUCAGAAUAAUUUUCAGGUUCCUAAGCCAGUCUUUAUAGUUGGUUCCGGUCAGUCUGUUGGUCUCAAGGAUUCGGGUCAAAGAGUUUGAAGCUGACAUUGUGAUCUGUAGAGAGUAAAGAUUCUAGUUAGACUUUGUACUUGAACUUAAUUUGUUCUAGGAACUUUUAAAACAAAUAUGCUCCCACUAUUUUCUCGAAUUCCUCAUACUCCCCUGAUGGAGAAAUGAAAACACUACGCGACUAGGAUUUUUAGUGGGUACUGCGGUCUCACCGAUUUACAUGCCGCCUCACCUAACAGUUAUUGGUGACAUAUAAAUGG
rnacentral:lncRNA from 1 species